rnacentral:rRNA from 1 species
GACGAACGCUGGCGGCGUGCUUAACACAUGCAAGUCGAGCGAGUGGAUUCCCUUCGGGGAUGAAGCUAGCGGCGGACGGGUGAGUAACACGUGGGCAACCUGCCUUAUAGAGGGGGAUGGCCUUCCGAAAGGAAGAUUAAUACCGCAUAACAUCAGAUUAUCGCAUGGUAGACUGAUCAAAGGAGCAAUCCGCUAUAAGAUGGGCCCGCGUCGCAUUAGCUAGUUGGUGAGGUAACGGCUCACCAAGGCGACGAUGCGUAGCCGACCUGAGAGGGUGAUCGGCCACAUUGGGACUGAGACACGGCCCAGACUCCUACGGGAGGCAGCAGUGGGGAAUAUUGCACAAUGGGGGAAACCCUGAUGCAGCAACGCCGCGUGAGUGAUGAGGGCCUUCGGGUUGUAAAGCUCUUUGAUCAGGGACGAUAAUGACGGUACCUGAAGAACAAGCCACGGCUAACUACGUGCCAGCCGCCGCGGUAACAC